UACGAAGGGGGCUAGCGUUGUUCGGAUUUACUGGGCGUAAAGCGCACGUAGGCGGAUUGUUAAGUCAGGGGUGAAAUCCUGGAGCUCAACUCCAGAACUGCCUUUGAUACUGGCAAUCUCGAGUCCGGAAGAGGUAAGUGGAACUCCUAGUGUAGAGGUGGAAUUCGUAGAUAUUAGGAAGAACACCAGUGGCGAAGGCGGCUUACUGGUCCGGUACUGACGCUGAGGUGCGAAAGCGUGGGGAGCGAACAGG
rnacentral:rRNA from 1 species